GAGUGAGAAUGCAGACAUGAGUAGCGAGAGACGGGUGAGGAUCCCGUCCGCUGGAUGACCAAGGGUUCCGGGGCCACGUUCGUCGUCCCCGGGUGAGUCGGGUCCUAAGGCGAGGCCGACAGGCGUAGUCGAAUGGAUGAACGGGUGGAUAUUCCCGUACCGGCAGCGAACCGCAAGAGCCGAACGGAUGAGUACUAACCUCCGGUCGCGUGGCGUCGUUCCCUUCGGGGUUCGGGGCGCGCGAUUGUUGGGAAUGUAGUCCUGGUAGGUUAGCGCACAGGGGUGACACGGAAUGGGAGCCGGCCGCGGAGGUGGUUUUCCGUGGUCAAGCACGCAGCCCGUCCCAUAGGCAAAUCCGUGGGACACGAGGGUGAGGUGCGAUGAUGGGCGUCUUUCAGGCGCGAUAUCCGGUGGUCCAGGCCGUCGAGAAAAGCCUCGGCGCGAGGGGCGUUGCCGCCCGUACCCCAAACCGACACUGGUGGUCAGGUAGAGAAUACCAAGGCGAUCGAGCGAAUCCUGGUCAAGGAACUCGGCAAAUCACUCCCGUGCCUUCGGUAUAAGGGAGACCCCUGAUGGUGAUGGAACUUGCUUCCGGAGCUUUCGGGGGUGGCACAGACCAGGGGGUAGCGACUGUUUACCAAAAACACAGGUGCAUGCGAAGGCGCAAGCCGCUGUAUAUGCACUGACGCCUGCCCGGUGCCGGAAGGUUAAGAGGAUCCGUCAGCCCUCGGGUGAAGCGGUGAAUUCAAGCCCCGGUAAACGGCGGUGGUAACUAUAACCAUCCUAAGGUAGCGAAAUUCCUUGUCGGGUAAGUUCCGACCUGCACGAAUGGCGUAACGACUUCCCCACUGUCUCGACCAGGAGCUCGGCGAAAUUGCAGUACGAGUAAAGAUGCUCGUUAAGCGCAGAAGGACGAAAAGACCCCGGGACCUUUACUAUACCUUGGUAUUGGCGUUAGGCGCGGAUUGUGUAGCAUAGGCGGGAGGCUUCGAAGCAUGGGCGCCAGCCCGUGUGGAGCCGCAAGGUGAAAUACCGCUCUGUUCUCGUUUGACGUCUCACCUCGAACAGUCAUCCUGUUCAGGGACAGUGCCUGGCGGGUAGUUUAACUGGGGCGGUUGCCUCCCAAAGAGUAACGGAGGCGCCCAAAGGUCCGCUCAGCCCGGUUGGCAAUCGGGUGGCGAGUGCAAGUGCACAAGCGGGCUUGACUGCGAGGACGACGGUCCGAGCAGGGACGAAAGUCGGGACUAGUGAUCCGGUGCCGGUGUACGGACGCGGCAUCGCUCAACGGAUAAAAGGUACCCCGGGGAUAACAGGCUGAUCAUUCCCAAGAGUCCAUAUCGACGGGAUGGUUUGGCACCUCGAUGUCGGCUCGUCGCAUCCUGGGGCUGGAGCAGGUCCCAAGGGUUCGGCUGUUCGCCGAUUAAAGCGGCACGCGAGCUGGGUUCAGAACGUCGUGAGACAGUUUGGUCUCUAUCCUCUGCGCUCGUUGGAAUCCUGAGGAGGCCUGCCCAUAGUACGAGAGGACCUGGGUGGACGGACCUCUGGUAUGCCGGUUGUCGCGCCAGCGGCAUGGCCGGUUGGCUACGUUCGGGAGGGAUAACCGCUGAAAGCAUCUAAGCGGGAAGCCUGCUCCAAGAUUAGGAUUCCUUGGCACUUCGGUGUCUGUAGCCCGCAUGUUGAACACGUGUUCGAUAGGCCGGAGGUGGAAGUCCCGCGAGGGAUGGAGCCGACCGGUACUAACGGGCGAACGCGGCACAC
rnacentral:rRNA from 1 species